rnacentral:rRNA from 1 species
UACGGAGGGGGGCUAGCGUUGUUCGGAAUUACUGGACGUAAAGCGCGCGUAGGCGGCUUUGUAAGUUAGAGGUGAAAGCCCGGAGCUCAACUCCGGAACUGCCUUUAAGACUGCAUCGCUAGAACGAUGGAGAGGUAAGUGGAAUUCCGAGUGUAGAGGUGAAAUUCGUAGAUAUUCGGAAGAACACCAGUGGCGAAGGCGACUUACUGGACAUCUGUUGACGCUGAGGUGCGAAAGCGUGGGGAGCAAACAGG